rnacentral:rRNA from 1 species
UGGGGGAUAUUGCACAAUGGGCGAAAGCCUGAUGCAGCGACGCCGCGUGGGGGAUGAAGGCCUUCGGGUUGUAAACUUCUUUUGCUCUGAACAAGGCAUGCUAAUGGGUGUGUUGAGUGUAGGGGUUGAUUAGCGCCGGCUAACUACGUGCCAGCAGCCGCGGUAAUACGUAGGGCGCGAGCGUUGUCCGGAAUUAUUGGGCGUAAAGGGCUUGUAGGUGGCUGGUUGCGUCUGUCGUGAAAGCUCAUGGCUUAACUGUGGGUUUGCGGUGGGUACGGGCUGGCUUGAGUGCAGUAGGGGAGGCUGGAAUUCCUGGUGUAGCGGUGGAAUGCGCAGAUAUCAGGAGGAAUACCGGUGGCGAAGGCGGGUCUCUGGGCUGUUACUGACACUGAGGAGCGAAAGCAUGGGGAGCGAAAAGG